rnacentral:rRNA from 1 species
UACAGAGGGGGCAAGCGUUGUUCGGAAUUACUGGGCGUAAAGGGCGCGUAGGCGGCCUUCUAAGUCGAACGUGAAAUCCCCGGGCUCAACCCGGGAACUGCGUCCGAUACUGGAAGGCUUGAAUUCGGGAGAGGGAUGCGGAAUUCCAGGUGUAGCGGUGAAAUGCGUAGAUAUCGGAAGGAACAUCAGUGGCGAAAGCGACUUCCUGGACCAGUACCGACGUUCAGGCACGAAAGCGUGGGGAGCAAACAGG